rnacentral:rRNA from 1 species
AUGAAAGCGGGGACUCGCAAGGGCCUCGCGCGAUUGGAGCGGCCGAUAUCAGAUUAGCUAGUUGGUGGGGUAAAGGCCCACCAAGGCGACGAUCUGUAGCUGGUCUGAGAGGACGACCAGCCACACUGGAACUGAGACACGGUCCAGACUCCUACGGGAGGCAGCAGUGGGGAAUUUUGGACAAUGGGCGCAAGCCUGAUCCAGCAAUGCCGCGUGCAGGAUGAAGGCCUUCGGGUUGUAAACUGCUUUUGUACGGAACGAAACGGUCUGCCUUAAUACGGUGGGCUAAUGACGGUACCGUAAGAAUAAGCACCGGCUAACUACGUGCCAGCAGCCGCGGUAAUA